rnacentral:pre_miRNA from 1 species
UCAUGAACCGUAUGCGAUCACAUUGACACGGUUUAAAAUACAUACGUGUGUAUCGUGGUCGUCUACUGUUUGUGG